GAUGAACGCUGGCGGCGUGCCUAAUACAUGCAAGUCGAGCGAACAGACGAGGAUCUUGCUCCUCUGACGUUAGCGGCGGACGGGUGAGUAACACGUGGAUAACCUACCUAUACGACUGGGAUAACUUCGGGAAACCGGAGCUAAUACCGGAUAAUAUAUUGAACCUCAUGGUUCAAUAGUGAAAGACGGUUUUGCUGUCACUUAUAGAUGGAUCCGCGCCGCAUUAGCUAGUUGGUAAGGUAGCGGCUUACCAAGGCAACGAUGCGUAGCCGACCCGAGAGGGUGAUCGGCCACACUGGAACUGAGACACGGUCCAGACUCCUACGGGAGGCAGCAGUAGGGAAUCUUCCGCAAUGGGCGAAAGCCUGACGGAGCAACGCCGCGUGAGUGAUGAAGGUCUUCGGAUCGUAAAACUCUGUUAUUAGGGAAGAACAAAUGUGUAAGUAACUAUGCACGUCUUGACGGUACCUAAUCAGAAAGCCACGGCUAACUACGUG
rnacentral:rRNA from 1 species